GUACCUAAACUUUGCUGCAAAAGGUGCAUGAACAUCUUUGUGUCUUGCUUUAGCCAUCUCUCCACUC
rnacentral:sRNA from 1 species